GGGAUGUCCCACCUGUGGUGUUUCCAGUGUAACUGUCGACGGCUCAGCCAAUCUAGAGGUGUGAUGGGCAAGUUGGGAGACGCUCCCAGACCUUGCCUCCCUCUCCAGGCUGAUUCUAGCCUUGUAGCUCGUAUGUGACUCCUCACCCACCCAGUAGGGGACAGAAGAGGCAGUUGCAGGCAAUGAGGGUGCUGAUACAUCUCUAAGGGGCUUCAUGUGGCCCUGAGCAAUUUGUAUUCCGAUCCCAAUGUCGUCCACUUCCGUGGCAAUUUUUUUCCACCUCCUCUUCUAGUCUCCCCCAGGAGCCUGUGUGUGGAUGUGGCUGUUAGCAUCAGAGGCUGCAUGUCCACCCCACCUCACCCCAAGUCGCCCUUUACCUGCUAUGAGGGAACUGGAAGCUGCAAGCAUCCUCAGCUGACAACUGCACCUCCGCGAAUGGCUGGGUCUCUGUAGUAAAACUGCGUGCGGUAAGUGAGGGGCCUGAGACACAUUUUCCCCUUCCCUGGGACACAACUGACCUCGAGGACACAUGUGUUGCCUCCUCAGCUGCCAUAUGUGCAGGCCGAGCUGGACUGUGGUUAGGAAGAAAAUGCAUGCAGCCAUGACCAGGAAGAUGACAGUCAAAUGGCCGUAUUGCUCAGUGGGCAGUGGCUCCGGGAUGCACACAGCAUUGUGGGUCUUGUUCCCAGGGAACAUGGUGAGAAAUCCAAACUGAGAACAGCUGGGACACAGACAGACACUGUCAGGAUUGGUUACCAAAGGGACCACACUAGAAGGACUGCUGUCCCCUAAGCCAUUUGGGAGAAGAAUGGGGGUUCUCUGGUGGUCACUGCAAGAAAGGGAUAGGGGAGGCUUUCUUAGAACGGGCCUAGGCUACUCAUCCAGGACUUACUUGGUCCAAAGUCUGCAGUGACCGUCACGACCUGCGGAGAAGGUGCCCAUGGCACAGGCAACACACCGGAAGCCAAACACAAUAUCCCCUGUGGAUAGACAGAAUAUUAGGACCCCUGAAGUUAAUGAAGAAGGAGUCAGACAA
rnacentral:lncRNA from 1 species